rnacentral:misc_RNA from 1 species
GGAAGUAAAAGUCGCAACAAGGUUUCCGUAGGUGAACCUGCGGAAGGAUCAUUCAUAAUAAGUGUUUUACUGCACUUUUUAAAAAUAGUACUCACCUUGUGUGCAAUGUUGUGUUUCUUUUCGGAGAAACACCUACACCAACCUAUAACCUUGAACCACUUUGUCUGAAAAACUAUUAUGAAUACUUAAUUCAAAAUACAACUUUCAACAACGGAUCUCUUGGCUCUC